GAGUGAUCGAAAGAUGAAAAGCACUUUGAAAAGAGAGUUAAACAGCACGUGAAAUUGUUGAAAGGGAAGCGUUUGCGACCAGACUCGCUCGCGGGGUUCAGCCGGCAUUCGUGCCGGUGUACUUCCCCGUGGGCGGGCCAGCGUCGGUUUGGGCGGCCGGUCAAAGGCCUCCGGAAUGUAUCACCUCUCGGGGUGUCUUAUAGCCGGGGGUGCAAUGCGGCCUGCCUGGACCGAGGAACGCGCUUCGGCUCGGACGCUGGCGUAAUGGUCGUAAAUGACCC
rnacentral:rRNA from 1 species